UACAGAGGGGGCCAGCGUUAUUCGGAAUUAUUGGGCGUAAAGGGCGCGUAGGCGGCCAUGCGUGUCUUCCGUGAAAUCCCUCGGCUUAACUGAGGACGUGCGGAAGAAACUGCAAGGCUUGAGUCCGGGAGAGGGGGGUGGAACUGCGAGUGUAGAGGUGAAAUUCGUAGAUAUUCGCAAGAACACCAGUGGCGAAGGCGGCUCACUGGCCCGGUACUGACGCUGAGGUGCGAAAGCGUGGGGAGCAAACAGG
rnacentral:rRNA from 1 species